rnacentral:rRNA from 1 species
UACGUAGGCAGCGAGCGUUGUUCGGAGUUACUGGGCGUAAAGCGUGCGUAGGCGGUGGCCCAAGUCUGGUGUGAAAUCUCCCGGCUUAACCGGGAGGGUGCGCCGGAAACUGGGUUGCUGGAGUACGGGAGAGGCAAGCGGAAUUCCAGGUGUAGCGGUGAAAUGCGUAGAUAUCAGGAGGAACACCGAUGGCGAAGGCAGGUCUCUGGGCCACGACUGACGCUGAGAAGCGAAAGCAUGGGGAGCGAACAGG